rnacentral:rRNA from 1 species
GCGUAAGGUACUGCGGAGACAUUACCGAGUGAGGGCCCUUUGGGUCCAACCUCCCACCCGUGUUUAUUUUACCUUGUUGCUUCGGCGGGCCCGCCUUUACUGGCCGCCGGGGGGCUCACGCCCCCGGGCCCGCGCCCGCCGAAGACACCCCCGAACUCUGUCUGAAGAUUGAAGUCUGAGUGAAAAUAUAAAUUAUUUAAAACUUUCAACAACGGAUCUCUUGGUUCCGGCAUCGAUGAAGAACGCAGCGAAAUGCGAUACGUAAUGUGAAUUGCAAAUUCAGUGAAUCAUCGAGUCUUUGAACGCACAUUGCGCCCCCUGGUAUUCCGGGGGGCAUGCCUGUCCGAGCGUCAUUGCUGCCCUCAAGCCCGGCUUGUGUGUUGGGCCCCGUCCUCCGAUUCCGGGGGACGGGCCCGAAAGGCAGCGGCGGCACCGCGUCCGGUCCUCGAGCGUAUGGGGCUUUGUCACCCGCUCUGUAGGCCCGGCCGGCGCUUGCCGAUCAACCCAAAUUUUUAUCCAGGUUGACCUCGGAUCAUGUAG